CUUGAACGCUGGCGGCAGGCCUAACACAUGCAAGUCGAACGAGUGGCGGACGGGUGAGUAAUGUCUGGGAAACUGCCUGAUGGAGGGGGAUAACUACUGGAAACGGUAGCUAAUAACGCAUAACAGCGGAUGUGCCCAGAUGGGAUUGGCUAGUAGGUGGGGUAACGGCUCACCUAGUCGACGAUCCCUAGCUGGUCUGCGAGGAUGACCAGCCACACUGUAACUGAGACACGGUCCAGACUCCUACGGGAGGCAGCAUUGGGGAAUAUUGCCCAAUGGGCGCAAGCCUGAUGCAGCCAUGCCGCGUGUAUGAAGAAGGCCUUCGGGUUGUAAAUGACUUUCAUCGGGGAGGCGUUACCCGCAGAAGAAGCACCGGCUAACUCCGUGCCAGCAGCCGCGGUAAUAC
rnacentral:rRNA from 1 species